rnacentral:lncRNA from 1 species
AGCUCUUCCUAUAUGGCCGAUGAUGAAGGUGUAAAACAAAAUAAAGUCCAGAGGAGGAUAAUCCAUCUGCUUGCAACAAGGGACUCCAAUUUUCUGUAUGCCUAACAUGACCAUGCCUUCUUGUUCAGCCUCUGAAAGUGAAUGAAUCUCGAUCUUAAAUGAGAAAAGAUUAACAACUCUAUAAUGUUGCAAUUUCCUUCCAGUUAAUGAUAAUAUAUUUACAGGAGAUUUCAA